rnacentral:lncRNA from 1 species
GAAAGACCCUGUUUAGCAACGUUUUUAGUAUACAUAAAAUAAUAUAUUAUUUUCCUUUAAGAAAUAUCUGAAGUACUGUUAUGAAAUUUCAAGAGAUACAUUUCUAUCCCGAAACAGACACUCAUAAGGGAAUUUUUCCAAUUCAGUGGUUAAAGACUGGUAAAUUUAUAAGCAACUUAAGAUAUGGUAUUGUAAUGGGGCAUGACUUAAAUCUUGAGAAAUGUACGAGGGUUUAAUAAGAGCUAGCAUGGCUUAAAGCAUUGUUUACAUUAUGCUGUAGAAGAUCAGAGUCUAUUGAAUCCUGUGCAUUUAUAAUUUGAGAGGCAUUGGUGAUGAGUGAAAACAGUGUGCCAUUCCUCACUCUGAUGCACAGAGAGAAAAGCAUGAUAAAUCAUAUCAGCAGCUGAAAAUGUGCCAGGCAAUAACUGGGAACAAUACGGCCCCAAAUCCUGCUUCAGUAAGACUGUUCACAUUUUUGGCAGUUCUGAUUGUCCUCUCUUACUUCUGGUUCCAACCCACUGCAAAUUGAAACUGUUUGUAAACUGUCCAUAAUACUGGCGUCUGAUUUUUUUUUUUUUUUUUUCUGGCAGCAUACUUCAGAAGCCAAGUUUGGUACUAGUUUAAUUUACAGAUGAAAUUCAUGAGAACUUUCCAGGCUUAGAAGAAAUUAUUGCCUUCAUUACAUAAGUUUCCAUUGUGGAACAUUUAUACUUUCUCAUGGAGAGAUUUGGUAUGGAAUGCUAUUCAGGAUGCACAGAGGAAAAUCCUCAUCUUGGCAUGGUCUGACACCCUUCAGCUUUUUACUUCAGAAAUUCUAGGCAAAGUAUGUCUCACCACAGCAAGUCAAGAGGAUCAACUUGUUCUUCUAUGUGUGAUGGAGCAAAAAGAAACCUUUAGCAUCAAAAAAAAUAGUAACAAGAGAAUCUUGUGUCAGCAGAAACAGGCAAAAACAAAACUCUGCAUUCUUUUCAAAGGCAUUACUAUUGACACAACAGUGAGGGCAAAGUAACAAAUUUCACUUCAACUUUGACCCUGUUAGCUGGUGUUGAGCUAAAAGUCAAAAGAAGUUACAGACUUUCAGUGUGAGGUCUAGGGAAAAAUAAAAUAAGUUAAAGAUAUAGGUUUUCUAUAUUU